ensembl:lncRNA novel transcript
GGGUCAGGCCUUGGGCUAACGUAGGCACUCUCGCAGUUCCUCCGCCUUCAGGAAGGUCUUUUUAGCAGGGGCCUUACGGGUGCAUGCUUCGGUCCUGGAGGACUUAGGCUAGCCUCCUCUCCAUCAGCGCCACCCGUCUGGGGCCCGAAAGGAGGGAGCUUUCCCUCUGUCCCCCAGCCUUUGGACUGUCACCAAACAAGCCAUUCGUUCACCAAAUACUUUUUAAGCGCCUACCAUGUGCCUGACAAGGGAUAUGUAACGGUGAGAAAAACUAGGUGUGGUCCAGGCCCUUCAGGGACUCAGGGGCUCGUGGAAGAAGUGGAUAUUGAAGUACUUAUCACACAAAGGAGGAUAAAAGUACGAUAGCGAUAUCUACCACGAAGCUGUUGUUCCACACCAGAACCAAAUGAGCGCAAGAUCUGACAAAAAAAAAAGUCCCUGUAUCCUGAGAUGGAGUCACCUGAGAAUCCACAGCAAGUCCUAACCAGGGAUGGGUCUGGGUGAUUAAGGAAGAUUGGCUUCAGAACUGGGCCAGGGGCACUGCUUUGCUUUUGCUGUUUUGAUCAGCUCUCUGCCUGCAGGAGACGAGGAAAACCAAUGGGAACAGGCGCAGGAAUGGGAGGCAGCAGCUGUGGAAGCCAGGGUCUCUGGCAGUCCUUGUCUCUGGGCGGUGAUCCAGAAAGAGAGAGAACACGAUUGUCUCAGCACUGGGUCUUCUUCUGAGUCAUCUUGAAGGAGCAAUUCCAGAGCGUCUCGGUGUUAAACAUCAUGUUGUGAAUGACUCAGUGAUCUCUGACCCAGAGACCUUGGGGAUAAAGGAGGGGAGGUACGGAGAAGCUCUUCGAAUGGAUGUUACCGGCGUGUCAGUGUUCUUUGAGGCCACAGGCUAUGUGUCACCAAAUUGAAGGGGUGGCCUGCCCCUCCACACCUGUGGGUAUUUCUAGUCGGGUGGGAUGAGAGACAGAGAAAAGAAAUAAGACACAGAGACAAAGUACAGGGAAACAACAGUGGGUCCAGGGGACUGGCACUCAGCACACCAGGACCUGCACGAGCACUGGCCUCUGAGUUCCCUCAGUUUUUAUUGAUUAUGAUUUUCAUUAUUUCAGCAAAAAGGAAUGUAAUAGGAGAGCAGGGUGAUAAUAAGCAGAAUGUCAACAAAAAACAUGUGAGCAAAAUAAUCUAUAUCAUAAUUAAGUUCAAGGGAAGGUAUAUGACUGGACUUGCAUGUAGUCGACAUUUAUGUUUCUCUCCACCCAAACAUCUCAGUGGAGUAAAGAAUAACAUGGCAGCAUUACUGCAACAUGUCUCGCCUCCCGCCACAGGGCAGCUUUUAUCCUAGCUCAGACUUGAACAAAUGUACAAUCGGGUUUACACCGAGACAUUCAAUUCCCAGGGGCAAGCAGGAGACAGUGGCCUUCCUCCAUCUCAACUGCAAGAGGCUUUCCUCUUUUACUAAUCCGCCUCAGCACAGACCCUUUACGGGUGUCAGGCUGGGGGACAGUCAGGUCUUUCUCAUUCCAUGAGGCCAUAUUUCAGACUAUCACAUGGGGAGAAACCUUGGACAAAACCCUGCUUUCAAGGGCAGGGCUCCCUGCGGCUCUCCACUGUGCAUUGUGCCCCUGGUUUAUUGUGACUAGAGAAUGGCAAUGACUUUUACCAACUUUACUGCUUGUAAACAUUUGGUUAACAAGGCACGUCCUGCACAGCCCUAGAUCCCUUAAACCUUGAUUUUAGACAACACAUGUUUUUGUGAACUCCAAGUUGGGUCAAAGUGACUGGGGCAAAGUGGCUGGGGCAAAGCUACAAAUGAACAACAUCUCAGCAAAGCAAUUGUUAGAGUACAGGUCUUUUUCAAAGUGGAGUCUCUUAUGUCUUCCCUUUCUACAUAGACACAGUGACAGUCUGAUCUCUCUCUUUUCCCUACAUUUCCCCCUUUUCUUUUUAACAAAACCGCCAUCGUCAUCAUGGCCCCUUCUCACUGGUCGCUGUCUCUCCGGAGCUGCUGGAUACACCUGUAGACUAACAAUAGAGAGGACAGACAUACAAAAAUUAAUACAAAAUUUGCAAUAGUGGAAUUUCCAAUGGUUUUAACCCAAGUGACAGGGUUAAGAUUUGUGAGGCUAUCAACAGCUUUUACCAUUGCCUCCGUUUCUGACACCAGAUUUAACUGGGCUUUUGAGGUUUCAAAAAUUUGUUCUUUCAAUUUAGAAAUAUCUAAGGUAAGAUUAUCUUCUCUUCCUUGUAGAUGGCGUCUAACCAUGUCCCAGUGAUGUUCAGGUUCAUUAUAGGCUCAAGGUUUAAUACAAAAAUCUGACGUAUUCCAGUC